UGCCAGCCGCCGCGGUAAUACGGAGGGUGCUAGCGUUGUUCGGAAUUACUGGGCGUAAAGAGCAUGUAGGCGGAUGAAUUAGUCAGAGGUGAAAGCCCCGAGCUCAACUUGGGAACUGCCUUUGAUACUGUUUAUCUAGAGUCCGAGAGAGGUUAGUGGAAUUCCCAGUGUAGAGGUGAAAUUCGUAGAUAUUGGGAAAAACACCAGUGGCGAAGGCGGCUAACUGGCUCGGUACUGACGCUCAGACACGAAGGCUAGGGUAGCGAAAGGGAUUAGAUA
rnacentral:rRNA from 1 species